UUGACCUCGGAUCAGGUAGGGAAGACCCGCUGAACUUUAAGCAUAU
rnacentral:rRNA from 1 species